rnacentral:rRNA from 1 species
GGACCAAGGAGUCUAGCAUGCGCGCGAGCCAUUGGGAUAUUUACGAAACCUAAUGGCGCAAUGAAAGUGAAGGUCCGCCGUGCGCGGACCGAGGGAGGACGGACGGUCUCGAGGGGCCGCCUCGCACUCCCGGGGCGUCUCGUUCUCAUCGCGAGAAGAGGCGCACCCAGAGCGUACACGCUGGGACCCGAAAGAUGGUGAACUAUGCCUGGUCAGGACGAAGUCAGGGGAAACCCUGAUGGAGGUCCGUAGCGAUUCUGACGUGCAAAUCGAUCGUCGGAACUGGGUAUAGGGGCGAAAGACUAAUCGAACCAUCUAGUAGCUGGUUCCCUCCGAAGUUUCCCUCAGGAUAGCUGGCGCUCGCUUCUCGCGAGUCUCAUUCGGUAAAGCGAAUGAUUAGAGGCAUUGGGGUCGAAACGGCCUCAACCUAUUCUCAAACUUUAAAUGGGUGAGAUCUCCGGCUUGCUUGAACUGUGAAGCCGCGAGAUAUCGGAUCAGAGUGCCAAGUGGGCCACUUUUGGUAAGCAGAACUGGCGCUGUGGGAUGAACCAAACGCCGAGUUAAAGCGCCCAAAUCGACGCUUAUGGGAUACCAUGAAAGGCGUUGGUAACUUAAGACAGCAGGACGGUGGCCAUGGAAGUCGGA